UACGUAGGGUGCGAGCGUUGUCCGGAAUCACUGGGCGUAAAGGGCGCGUAGGCGGCUUGACAAGUCACUUGUGAAAUCUCCGGGCUUAACUCGGAACGGCCAAGUGAAACUGUCAUGCUAGAGUGCAGAAGGGGCAAUCGGAAUUCUUGGUGUAGCGGUGAAAUGCGUAGAUAUCAAGAGGAACACCUGAGGUGAAGACGGGUUGCUGGGCUGACACUGACGCUGAGGCGCGAAAGCCAGGGGAGCAAACGGG
rnacentral:rRNA from 1 species